UACGUAGGGGGCGAGCGUUGUCCGGAUUCAUUGGGCGUAAAGAGCUCGUAGGCGGCUUGGCAAGCCGGGUGUGAAACCUCCAGGCUUAACCUGGAGACGCCACCCGGGAAUGCUAUGGCUAGAGUCCGGUAGGGGAUCACGGAAUUCCUGGUGUAGCGGUGAAAUGCGCAGAUAUCAGGAGGAACACCGGUGGCGAAGGCGGUGAUCUGGGCCGGCACUGACGCUGAGGAGCGAAAGCGUGGGUAGCAAACAGG
rnacentral:rRNA from 1 species